UAGACACAACAGAAAGGAGAG
rnacentral:piRNA from 1 species